rnacentral:lncRNA from 1 species
CUGGGCUUGUUUUGCAGCCAAUGUCUCCCAGGACUUGGCAUGUCCUUCCUUGACGUCGCUGCCCUCGCUACGUUCUGCUGCUGCUGGGCCUUCCACACACCGGGCUCCCGACACAGCUGGUGAAAAGGCCCCCAGAGACCCACAGCCCGGGUGCCAGCUCCACCGUACCCCACCUCCACCCCACCGUAUCCAUAUCGCGCCUCACUCACCACAGCUGGGCUUGGCUCAGAGGCACCCAGGAAGGAGGGGGCAGGGACCCCCGACGGGUGAGGAUAGAGGAGUGCGGGUCCCUCCUCUCGGGAGGCAGAGCAGGGCCUGGCUGAGAAAGGCCCACUCGGAAUUCGGAAGCGCGAACACAGCAAGCAUGGCAGUGACGGUGAGUGGUGCUGGGAGUCCAGGCCCUGAAUCCUGAACACCCCAGGAGGGCGUCUGCCCUGCCCAUCUGGACCAGUGAGCAGAGGGCGCCCGAGCUUGAGGCUCUCAAGGAAGUUUCCCUGCAUCUCCAGAUGGCCUCUGGGCCCCCGGGGCUGUCCCUGAGCCAGUGAGACCAGCCUGGCAGAGCCUGGGGGAUGUCCAGGGGCUCCAGGGCUCAGCCCCUGGAUGUGAGGACCCCUGGGGGCUUCAGAGGGGGA